CCUACGAGGAGCGGCGGGAUCCUGCGGGGCAAUUGGCAGGGAUGGGCAGCUUUGACCACCUCGCCGGACCGCCCCGAUACAAACGCAUACAAGUAUACGUACAGCUUCGCAUACGUUCAAACCACCAUCAUCGUCCCGAGAAUCGCCCAUCAAAGACUGGGCCCACUCAGCGGCCAACCAACACACGGCAGCUGGGCAGCUGGACGCAGUCUACACGCCCGGUACAUAAAUGCGCCUUAUAUCAGCUGGGGUCCACCUGGUUUAGCUUCAUCUGCUCGAAACCAUUAGCCUCGCCAAGAAAGCGCGUCCUCUGCGGCUUUAAUCGCGACGGGUGCACCCAGUUCAGGUCACAGCUAGGGACCCUGGCCAGGCAUUACCCGUGGCUGCCUCGGCCAUAGACACGGUGACAACUCAGGUGAGUUUCCGGCCGGGGGAAGACCUGCGCAGAGGGGACAAGGACCAGGCACCGUACGAUGAGAGCUGCGAAGCUGAACCCGCUCUCGCUGCGUGCUUUUGCAUUCAAUUGAACAAUCCCAUAGUCAUUGAGCCUUCUAUUCCUCCAACAGCGCUCUCGCUGUCAGUUUUUAGUGUGGAUGGCUCGUCUCACUCUCACAUACGUUUAAUUGGUGCGGUCAUAUCCUACCGGACAGGAUGUCUUGGACACGCGGUGACGUGCGGCUGCGAGGGCUCCUACUUGUGCUCGGCACAUUCGCCCUGGUGGGCAUUGAGCCCGUUUCGGCACGCACAGUGAAGCCGAAGUAUUUUCUUCAGAAAGC
rnacentral:lncRNA from 1 species